AGAAGGUUAAUGUGUAACAGUCAGUCACAAAAAUGGUCAAAAUGCUUCCUCCUUUACGCUUUCUCAGCUGUGCUGGAACUGCCGCAAGGUAGGCUUCUUGCCACGCUUGGUCUGAAGUCUCCUGGGCUUGUGAACUGUUCUUCUGACUGGAAGCUUCCUGAAGCCUUCACCAGAAGCAGAUGCUGGCCCCAUGCUUCUUGUACAGCCUGCAGAACUGUGAGCCAAAUAAGCCUCUUUUCUUUAUAAAUUACCUGGUCUCAGGUAUCCCUUUAAAGCAAUGCAAAUGGGCUAUGACAAUAGGAUUUGAGACACCACAGGUGCUCAAUGUUUACUAAUGAAUAAUUGUAAUGCUGGAGAAGAUAACUUAGUAUUUGGUCACAAUUUAAAUUCUUUAUAGCAAAAAGUGUGAAGAAAGAAAAAUAGGAAAUACCACUCUAUGAAAAUAAAAAAUUAGUAGAGGAGGCCAUUUACUUGAUGCUGAGUAUGCAUCCAGCCCUGUGCACACACGACCUCAGUUCAUCUUCACAACAGCCCCACAAGGUGGGCUGCUUCAUCACGACGUCACAGAGGAGAGCCU
rnacentral:lncRNA from 1 species